GUGCGUAGCUCAGGGGAAGAGCACUUCCUUGACGCGGAAGGGGUCAGCGGUUCAAUUCCGCUCGCACCUACCA
rnacentral:tRNA from 1 species